GAAGAUUACGUAUCCUGUGCCAGCUCGUGAUUCGGUCAAGUUCGUGUAUUUGUUCUGCAAUGUGAUCACCAAGUGCUUUGUGGCGGAACAGAUGAAGAUGGGGAUCAAAGAUGAGAGCAAUGAAGAUAUGAUCAAGGAUUUAGCCGCAUGAUUUCGAUAUAUUCGCAACAAAAGUAUGAAACUUUUUUAUUGGGAUUUAUCUAUAGUUUGCUCUCUUCAGUCUGGAAUAAUUGUUCUUCAGAAUUUGUGGUUUUGAAAUUAUGGG
rnacentral:lncRNA from 1 species